rnacentral:rRNA from 1 species
UACGUAGGGUGCGAGCGUUAAUCGGAAUUACUGGGCGUAAAGCGUGCGCAGGCGGUUUUGUAAGCCAGAUGUGAAAUCCCCGGGCUUAACCUGGGAAUGGCAUUUGGGACUGCAAGGCUCGAGUGCGGCAGAGGAGACUGGAAUUCCUGGUGUAGCAGUGAAAUGCGUAAAUAUCAGGAGGAACACCGAUGGCGAAGGCAGGUCUCUGGGCUGACACUGACGCUCAUGCACGAAAGCGUGGGGAGCAAACAGG